rnacentral:rRNA from 1 species
GUCACUGGAAAGUGGCGUCGGGUGAGUAACACGUGGGUAUCUACCUUCGGGUGGGGAAUAACGUCUCGAAAGAGACGCUAAUACCGCAUAAUGCAGCGGCACCUAAUGGUGAAUAGUUGUUAAAGCGGGGGAUCGCAAGACCUCGCGCCUGAAGAGGAGCCUGCGGCAGAUUAGCUUGUUGGUGAGGUAAUGGCUCACCAAGGCUGCGAUCUGUAGCUGGUCUGAGCAAGGACGGCCAGCCACACUGGCACUGACACACGGGCCAGACUCCUACGGGAGGCAGCAGUGGGGAAUUUUGGGCAAUGGGCGCAAGCCUGACCCAGCAACGCCGCG